rnacentral:rRNA from 2 species
UUUAUGGAGAGUUUGAUCCUGGCUCAGGAUGAACGCUGGCGGCGUGCCUAAUACAUGCAAGUCGAGCGAACAGACGAGGAGCUUGCUCCUCUGACGUUAGCGGCGGACGGGUGAGUAACACGUGGAUAACCUACCUAUAAGACUGGGAUAACUUCGGGAAACCGGAGCUAAUACCGGAUAACAUGUUGAACCGCAUGGUUCAACAGUGAAAGACGGU